AUUUAGGUAGCUCAAAUUUAGAGCGUAACAUUGAAGCUGUUAAGAUGAUAAUUUUAUCCUUAAAUA
rnacentral:tRNA from 1 species